rnacentral:misc_RNA from 1 species
ACGGUCAAAGGGAAAGGAAGAAGAGGAAUUAUUCCUUAUAUCCGUUUGUUUUUCAUAUUACAUCCGACUAACGGAUGGAAGUUCUUAGCUAGAGUUAUAGAAGGCAUAAGGCGAAAUGUCAGUGCGUAAACUGUAAAAAGUCUAUUCAGAGAACGGGAAGAUAGACUGCAUAUAUCAAAACACGGAUACAAACUGUUAUUCACUUUUGCCACAGUAUGUUUGCAAACAUAUAAAUUGCAGUAAUUCUCAUACACAAAAAUGUGAUUUGAUAAAAGCUUUGGAACCCUAAAUAUCCGAAGCCUUUAUGAGAAGCCUCACCAAAGAAAAAUGUGUACUAUAGCUGUGUUUCGACGCGUCUCUGGCGUAGUGCUAACGCAAGUGUGGCUCCUCCUUCUCCAGGGAGCUCUGCAAGAACUCAGUCCUCUCAGUGUCGGUAAAGCUCGGUGCGAAAAAACUUUUCCGUACUACGGUUCCGGUGAUGGCAGAAAUGACAUUAAUAUUGUGGAUGAUUCUGAGUACUCCGGUUCCGGUGAUGGCAGAAGUGACAUUAACAUUGUGGAUGAUUCUGAGUACUCCGGUUCCGGUGAUGGCAGAAGUGACCUUAAUAUUGUGGAUGAUUCUGAGGUUGACAUGGAAGAGGACUACAGACUCCUCAUUCCCGCGUUUGAGGGUUCUGGAGAUGAUUAUUUAGACAACACCCCACCUCCUCCACUUCCACCUCCUCCACCAGGCUAUCCAGUACCAGGCGUAAAGGGAGAGAAAGGAGAACCAGGCAUGAAAGGAUCGCCAGGCGAGGCUGAUGUCGGACCUCCUGGCCCCCCUGGUCUUCCAGGGCCCCCUGGUAUACCGGGGCGAUCAUAUCUGGAUUGGCCGGAACUUGGAUCUGGUGGUGGCAACGAACUUACGCGAACAUGUUUUUGCAAUAUUUCUUCCGUGACUGCGCUAGUCCGGGAACAGCUGUUCAAAAGGCCGGAAUACGCAAACGAACGAGGAAGCAAGGGAGAUAAAGGAGAUCAAGGGCCUCCUGGCCCGGCCGGACUGCAAGGUGAAAAGGGUGAACCAGGAAAGGAUGGACCGCGUGGCCUUCCUGGGGAGAGGGGUCCGCGGGGUCCCGCAGGACCACCAGGGAUAUUUUAUUCACCAGAAAAAGGAGAAGAAGAUUUCCCUGAGUUUUUACCAGAAACUGCAACCAAGAAGCCUGAGAAGGGUUCCGUUGACCCUGAAGGUUGUAUAGGCGUUUCCGAUGACAAUGGAAUGAAAGGGGUUGACGGGGAAAAAGGUGACAAAGGAGAAAAAGGGCUGCUGGGCGUGCCAGGUCUUAAAGGGUUUCAGGGUGAGCCAGGGAUCCCAGGCAUGAUUGGCGCUCCGGGUCCGCCAGGACCUGCUGGAAAUCAAGGUGUUCGUGGUGAAAAAGGUAACAAAGGUCUGCCGGGAAUAGGGGUGCCAGGAACCCCAGGAACCCCAGGAGGUCUUACCGAAGAAGAACGAAGAAUCGUAAUAGAUGAGCUGUUGGGAUUGCUCGAGGGUGAGAACAGCGGUCUCAGCUUUAACGUGUUUGAGAGUUCUGGACAUUUCCCUUGGUUUGGAGAAGCUGAUCCCAGGCUAACGGGGCCACCAGGACCUAAGGGCAAUCAGGGACCUAAGGGACCUAGAGGACUACCAGGAAAUAUUGGUCCUUCUGGUUCUCCUGGUAAAGAUGGUUUUCCUGGAUCCGUGGGGCCGCCAGGAGAACCAGGUCUUCCCGGGGCGAAAGGUGAUACAGGGUCAGUCGGUACGAAGGGUGACCGCGGUCAUUCUGGGCCACCAGGAGUCCCAGGACCUAUUACUACCCUUAUACAGCCUGAUGGAACAAACAUCACACUUGUCAAGGGUGAAAAGGGCGAACGUGGAAUGAGGGGCAGGCGAGGUCAUCCUGGGUCGUCUGGCCUGUCAGGGCCGAUCGGCGACCUUGGUCUACCGGGUUGGCCGGGUUCUCCUGGUAGACCAGGCCCUCGAGGGCUCCCGGGUUCUGGCAUUAAAGGCGAGGCAGGAACCCCAGGUCUACCCGGACCCCCUGGCCCUCCAGGCCCUCCAGGUUCAUCAGGUCGUACAAAGGGAUUCGACAGCGGUCAUUCAGAUACAUUUUCCGACUUAGCAGUGAGCUAUAAUGCACGGGAGCGGCAAGGACCGCCUGGCCCACCGGGACCUCCUGGACCUCCAGGUCAGGUCAUAGGUGGCCGAAUGUACACUUCGAUUCCAGGACCCCCUGGGCCCCCUGGACCACCUGGGCCGGCGGUUGGCCUGUUAGGAGUCAAGGGCAGUUCGAGGAACACUCAGGCAUCGAUGACGGGAGACAAGUGCCUUAUAUAUCUGGCAGCAUCGGCAAAACCAAUCCUGAACAAGGUUCCUAUGGCCCUUCUUGGAGAUCAAGAGAUAACAUUAAUGAAGAGUUAAACGUGAAAAAGAUAACUGAAGGCUUUGUAACAGCAACAAACAAGCAGGCAAUGUUAAAGAUUAGUGAAGUUUCUCCGCCGGGCACACUUGUGUUUUUGACAGAUGAGGAAGCUUUGCUUGUUAGAAUUGUUAGCGGGUGGCGGUAUGUCUCU